AGCGAACGCUGGCGGCGUGCCUAACACAUGCAAGUCGAACGUGAAAAGGGAAACCUGAGUAAAGUGGCGUACGGGUGAGUAACGCGUAGGUAAUCUACCCCAGAAUCUGGAAUAACCUGCCGAAAGGCGGGCUAAUACUGGAUAGAGCGAGGGAACUCGUAAGAGAGUUUUUCGGGAAAGGGAGCCCGCAAGGGCCUUCGUUCUGGGAUGAGCCUGCGUCUCAUUAGCUAGUUGGUAAGGUAACGGCUUACCAAGGCGAUGAUGAGUAGCUGGUCUGAGAGGAUGAUCAGCCACACUGGAACUGAAACACGGUCCAGACUCCUACGGGAGGCAGCAGUGGGGAAUCUUGCGCAAUGGACGAAAGUCUGACGCAGCCACGCCGCGUGAGUGAAGAAGGCUUUCGGGUUGUAAAGCUCUGUCGGAUGGGACGAACAUCUUCAUAGUGAAUAGCUAUGAGGACUGACGGUACCAUCAAAGGAAGCACCGGCUAACUCCGUG
rnacentral:rRNA from 1 species